GCACCUGUAGCCUAAUGGUUAUAGCUUGACUCUUUUGGUGCUCAGAGGCAAACAGGUCAUGGGUUCAAUUCCCGCUGCUGCU